CCCUUAGAUGUCCUGGGCUGCACGCGCGCUACACUGAUGUGUCCAGUAAGCACCUAACCGCUUCCGAAAGGAACGGGUAACCUUUGCAAAGCACAUCGUGAUGGGGAUAGAUUAUUGCAAUUAUUAGUCUUGAACGAGGAAUUCCUAGUAAGCACAAGUCAUCAGCUUGUGUUGAUUACGUCCCUGCCCUUUGUACACACCGCCCGUCGCUCCUACCGAUUGAAUGUUCCGGUGAGCUCUUCGGACUGCGCGGUCUGCAGUUUCUGCGUUCCGUGCGGAAAGUUGCGCAAACCUUAACAUUUAGAGGAAGGAGAAGUCGUAACA
rnacentral:rRNA from 1 species